ACUCAAAUGAAUUGACGGGGACCCGCACAAGCGGUGGAUGAUGUGGAUUAAUUCGAUGCAACGCGAAAAACCUUACCUACCCUUGACAUGUCUGGAAGGCUGAAGAGAUUUAGCUGUGCUCGCAAGAGAACUGGAACACAGGUGCUGCAUGGCUGUCGUCAGCUCGUGUCGUGAGAUGUUGGGUUAAGUCCCGCAACGAGCGCAACCCUUGUCAUUAGUUGCUACGAAAGGGCACUCUAAUGAGACUGCCGGUGACAAACCGGAGGAAGGUGGGGAUGACGUCAAGUCCUCAUGGCCCUUAUGGGUAGGGCUUCACACGUCAUACAAUGGUCGGGACAGAGGGUAGCCAAGCCGCGAGGUGGAGCCAAUCCCAGAAACCCGAUCGUAGUCCGGAUCGCAGUCUGCAACUCGACUGCGUGAAGUCGGAAUCGCUAGUAAUCGCGGAUCAGCAUGUCGCGGUGAAUACGUUCCCGGGUCUUGCACACACCGCCCGU
rnacentral:rRNA from 1 species